rnacentral:rRNA from 1 species
AGUGAGCGCUGGCGGUAGGCCUAACACAUGCAAGUCGAACGGCAGCACAGUAAGAGCUUGCUCUUACGGGUGGCGAGUGGCGGACGGGUGAGGAAUACAUCGGAAUCUACUUUUUCGUGGGGGAUAACGUAGGGAAACUUACGCUAAUACCGCAUACGACCUACGGGUGAAAGCAGGGGAUCUUCGGACCUUGCGCGAUUGAAUGAGCCGAUGUCGGAUUAGCUAGUUGGCGGGGUAAAGGCCCACCAAGGCGACGAUCCGUAGCUGGUCUGAGAGGAUGAUCAGCGACACUGGAACUGAGACACGGUCCAGACUCCUACGGGAGGCAGCAGUGGGGAAUAUUGGACAAUGGGCGCAAGCCUGAUCCAGCCAUACCGCGUGUGUGAAGAAGGCCUUCGGGUUGUAAAGCCCUUUUGUUGGGAAAGAAAAGCAGCAGGUUAAUACCCCGCUGUUCUGACGGUACCCAAAGAAUAAGCACCGGCUAACUUCGUG